rnacentral:lncRNA from 1 species
AUCCCCAUUUCCCUUUCCAACUGACUAGGUAUCCCCAUUUCCCUUUCCAACUGACUAGGUAUCCCCCCUUUCCCUUUCCAACUGACUAGGUAUCCCCCCUUUCCCUUUCCAACUGACUAGGUAUCCCCCCUUUCCCUUUCCAACUGACUAGGUAUCCCCCCUUUCCCUUUCCAACUGACUAGGUAUCCCCCCUUUCCAACUGACUAGGUAUCCCCCUUUCCCUUUCCAACUGACUAGGUAUCCCCCCUUUCCCUUUCCAACUGACUAGGUAUCCCCCUUUCCCUUUCCAACUGACUAGGUAUCCCCCCUUUCCCUUUA